AUGUUCACUUUCUCAGUAUACAUACUAAUAUUAGAAAAUACAGAAGAGGCUAGCGUGUCCCCUAUGCAAGGAUAACAUGUAAAAUCAUUAAGUAUUUUAUAUUUUU